rnacentral:rRNA from 1 species
UACGGAGGAUCCGAGCGUUAUCCGGAUUUAUUGGGUUUAAAGGGAGCGUAGGUGGAUUGUUAAGUCAGUUGUGAAAGUUUGCGGCUCAACCGUAAAAUUGCAGUUGAAACUGGUAGUCUUGAGUACAGUAGAGGUGGGCGGAAUUCGUGGUGUAGCGGUGAAAUGCUUAGAUAUCACGAAGAACUCCGAUUGCGAAGGCAGCUCACUAGACUGUCACUGACACUGAUGCUCGAAAGUGUGGGUAUCAAACAGG